GUAGGGUGCAAGCGUUAAUCGGAAUUACUGGGCGUAAAGCGUGCGCAGGCGGUUUUGUAAGUCUGUCGUGAAAGCCCCGGGGCUCAACCUGGGAAUUGCGAUGGAGACUGCAAGGCUUGAAUCUGGCAGAGGGGGGUAGAAUUCCACGUGUAGCAGUGAAAUGCGUAGAGAUGUGGAGGAACACCGAUGGCGAAGGCAGCCCCCUGGGUCAAGAUUGACGCUCAUGCACGAAAGCGUGGGGAGCAAACAGGAUUAGAUACCCUGGUAGUCCACGCCCUAAACGAUGUCUACUAGUUGUCGGGUUUUAAUUAACUUGGUAACGCAGCUAACGCGUGAAGUAGACCGCCUGGGGAGUACGGUCGCAAAGAUUAA
rnacentral:rRNA from 1 species